AUGAAUGGGUGGAUGUCAGGCGAUAUUGUAAAGCUCUUCGCAUCAAAGCGCUAUCUAAAUGCAGUCCGUGUACCAUUUCUGUGUCUGCGUCUCGUUCUGACGUCUCGCCUCCGCCUCCUCUCCCCCCCCCCCCCCCCCCCCCCCCCCCCCAGAGUCCUCGUCCUCCGUGAUGGUGUUCCAGGACACCGCCACCCGCACCACCCCCCGCGCCCCGCCCGUCACCGUGACAACCGGCACCACCUCCACCGCCGUCGCGGUGGGCAGCGGCACCUCCGCCCUGACCCGCGGGGGCCCGGGCACCGUCAGGCCCCCCGGCGGCGGCGGCGGCGGCACCACCACCACCGUCGCCGCCGGCAACGGCAACGCCCGGGUCACCGCGAGGACGACGACCGCCACCGCCACCAGCACCACGGGCGCGGCCCCGCCCCUCACGCCGGCGCAGGCCUUCGUGCCCGAGGGCGCCAGCCGCUCGCCGGCCUCCUCCCGCCUGCCCGCCGUCCGGGUGGAGAACUGCAUCGCCAUGGUGAUGGCGGACGUGUCCUGGCCCCGCACCACCCAGGGCCUGGCGGCCCGGAUGCCCUGCCCCCCGGGGACUCUGGGGGUGGCCACGUACACGUGUGUGGGGCCCGAGGGCUACUGGGACCCCCAGGGGCCCGACCUCAGCAACUGCACCUCCCCCUGGGUCAACAUCAUCAGCCAGAAGAUCAAAGCAGGCGAGACGGCGGCGGCCAUCGCCCGCGAGCUGGCGGAGCAGACCAAGAGCAACCUCCAGGCGGGGGACAUCACGUCCACUGUGCGCCACAUGGUGCAGCUGGUGGACCUGCUGGACGUGCAGCUGAGGAACCUCACGCCCGGCGGCAAGGACAGCGCCGCACGCAGCCUCAACAAGCUCCAGAAAAGGGAACGCUCCUGCAGGUUUUAUGUACAGGCCAUGGUGGAGACGGUGAACAACCUGCUCCAGCCCACGGCCCAGGCGGCCUGGAGGGGGCUCAGCACCGGGGCCCAGCUGAGGGCAGCCACCACGCUGCUGGACACGGUGGAGCAGGGCGCCUUCGUCCUGGCCGACAACCUGCUGAAGACCGACAUCGUGCAGGAGAACACCGACAACAUCCGUGAGUAGGACCGCCGGCCGUGAGUGUUGGAGGGGUCAACGGAACUGCGUUUGUACCGCGCUUUUUCGAAACCAGCCGCCACUCGGAGAGCUGCACGAUACGGAAGGGCUGAUGACACACGCGGUGUGUCUUUUUGCAAUUGAUUUGUUAACAUUCGCAGUGUUGAUCAGCAGAGGAAUAGUUUGCCAAAGACGUUGACGUCGCUUAGCAACUGAAUACACUGGGGUUGAUGAGUGACCGGACUACUUGCAGAGUGAUACAAAAGACGUGAAUCAGGCUGAAAAUCCAUUUUCCCUGACAGCAGUCAAUAAUGCUUAUAAACGGUCAAUUAUGCUAAAAUAAUUGACGCCGGACCUUUAGAAGGGCCAUUGAUGUGAAUGGAGCAUUCUACAGCAUUAAGAAGAGCCGUGUUAUAAUGCCUAACAUUCACCUGUUCACGCACACAUCCACGCACCGAGGGUGUAGUCAGCGGUGCGAGGCUACAGCCAGCUUAUUGGGAGCAGUUAGGGUGAGGUGCCUUGCUCAGGGACACCUCGACACUCUCACGCUAUAGGUGGAGCCGGGGAUUGAACUAGCAACCUUCAGGUCUCCAAACAGCUCGCCGGGAGCAGUUCGGGUGAGGUGCCUUGCUCAGGGACACCUCGACACUCUCAUGCUAUAGGACUAGCUACCUUCUGCUCUACCUCCUGAGCCCCCCGUGGUAGUGUGUGCAUGCAGGGGCCUCUGUGUGUUGGGUGUGCAAAAACGAAGGGACCUGCUUGCCUCGGGGCCCCAUGAGUGGAAGAGGUGGGGGAGGGGGGGGGGACUGGGGACCGGGGACUAUAAUCAACAUUACAUAUUAUGUUAAAUUGCACCAGCGUUUCAGCGUCACUUUAGUAAUUGUUUGUUUGCCGGGGUUGCUUUUAUCGUUUUUCAUUCAACUCCAAUGAGACACGACUAAUAAUGUUUUUUCGUUUGAUUUCUUGGGUCUCGGGCUUUGAUGAGAACGCACACCAGAAAGCGAGGCCGCGAAAAAGAGCAUGUUUGCUAAUGUGAACACUUAGCCUUUGUUGCAAGUCGUUGGUGUUGUUGUUGUUGUGUGCGUCUGUUGUUUCCCUGUGACUCCCCCCCCCCCGCUCUACACUGUGGCUUCACGUCUAAUAAGAGUCGCGUGUCGUGAGCGUGUCGUGAGCGUGUCCCCGAGGCAUCGCGGGAACACGGAGAGCGCCUUCGCUGCGCGACGUUAGCUGCCAGUUGGCAGAAGGGGAACGGUUCGCUGUUUGACGCUCGUGCUCAACAACGGCGUCUGGUGCCUAGAGGGCCGGCUUGGUUUACCCUCGCGCGACGCGUGGCGCCUUCGCGGCGCGACGUUAGCGCCUGGAGGCUGGCGGUUAGCAGAGCACAACGGCGUCUGGUGCCUGGAGGCCGGCGUGGCGUUCCCUCGUACAUCUCGUGGGCGCUGCUCGCCGGGCUUGGGGGGGGGCUAGAGGAGCUCGCGCUGGCCUUCGUGAUCCAGGGAGUGCUGGUGUAGACGCUGGAAGCUCCCAGUGGGCGCCGGGGGAAUGGAGACGAUCGCAGGUCAAAGGUUACGGCGAGGGCCUGUCGUCGUGGGCGUGUUGUCGGUGGGUUGGCGUUAUCGGGGUUUAAUGAUUUAAUUGAAUGAGUAUGAAUGUGUGUGUGCACCCCCACAUGCACACACAAGCGGGCCAGCGCGGACACACAAGCGCACACACACACACACACACACACACACACACACAAACGCACACACGCGCAUACGUAUAAUAUGUGAAAGAUAAUAUAAUUUAUCGCUCUCUGUUUGCCGAGGCCGGUGGGACUUCUCUGCUUUUGCUGCUGCCAUGGCAACCUCAAGAAUAUAGGUCCGAGCAAAUGAAAGGAGGCGAGCUUAAAGAGAAUUAAUAAAAGUGGAAUUUAUCAUGGCGGGGCACGGAAUUCAUUGGAGUAUUAAGGAGAUUCUGGUGUGUGUGUGUGUGUGUGUGUGUGUGUGUGUGUGUGUGUGUGUGUGUGUGUGUGUGUGUGUGUGUGUGUGUGUGUGUGUGUGUGUGUGUGUGUGUGUGUGUGGAGACAAUCCGGCUGGAAUUCAAAAGGGAUUUUUAUGGUCUGCACAGUGGAAGUGUUGUUAAUCACGUGACGGUGGUGCAUUAGCUUAGCCCCUCUCUACCUCCUUAUGCUCCCCUCGUGUUUAUACGGCUCCUGUGUGGUUGACUCUUAAACCCGGUUCUUCCUCAAGACUCAGAGGCGGCCUAUUAUGUUUUUGUUUAAGUACUACGGGACCUUAUCAUGGUCACAUAAAAUGACCAUUGUGUUAGCGGCGGUUUGAUCCAACAGGGGAAUGAAAAGCAGUAAAUUG
ensembl:lncRNA